AUACGAAGGGUGCAAGCGUUAAUCGGAAUUACUGGGCGUAAAGCGCGCGUAGGUGGUUCAGCAAGUUGGAUGUGAAAGCCCCGGGCUCAACCUGGGAACUGCAUCCAAAACUACUGAGCUAGAGUACGGUAGAGGGUGGUGGAAUUUCCUGUGUAGCGGUGAAAUGCGUAGAUAUAGGAAGGAACACCAGUGGCGAAGGCGAGCCCCGGGACUGAUACUGCCACUGAGGUGCGAAAGCGUGGGGAGAAAACAGGAUUAGAUACCCUGGUAGGCCACGCCGUAAACGAUGUCAACGAGUUGUUGAGUUCCUUGAGAUCUUAGUAACGAAGCUAAAGCGAUAAGUUGACCGCCUGGGGAGUACGGCCGCAAGGUUAAAACUCAAAUGAAUUGACGGGG
rnacentral:rRNA from 1 species